UACGGAGGAUGCAAGCGUUAUCCGGAAUGAUUGGGCGUAAAGCGUCCGCAGGUGGCUGUGUAAGUCUGCUGUUAAAGAGUCAUGCUCAACAUGAUAAGAGCAGUGGAAACUACACGGCUAGAGUGCGUUCGGGGCAGAGGGAAUUCCUGGUGUAGCGGUGAAAUGCGUAGAUAUCGAGAGGAACACCUGCGGCGAAGGCGGGUUGCUGGGCCGACACUGACGCUGAUGCGCGAAAGCCAGGGGAGCGAACGGG
rnacentral:rRNA from 1 species